rnacentral:rRNA from 1 species
UACGAAGGGGGCUAGCGUUGCUCGGAAUCACUGGGCGUAAAGGGUGCGUAGGCGGGUCUUUAAGUCAGGGGUGAAAUCCUGGAGCUCAACUCCAGAACUGCCUUUGAUACUGGCGAUCUUGAGUCCGGAGAGGUGAGUGGAACUGCGAGUGUAGAGGUGAAAUUCGUAGAUAUUCGCAAGAACACCAGUGGCGAAGGCGGCUCACUGGCCCGGUACUGACGACUGA